GUUUAAAAAUGGCGGUAUACGAAGUGUUUGCCCACCCAGAACUCCGACGUUAUAAGACCCAUAUAUGCACAAAGGCUUCGCUAUUGACAUUUUGUAUUUUAUUCCUCGUUUUCAUUCCGCCACUUUUCGUUGUUUAUAGAAGUUAUGGGUUCUGGAAGAAAGAAGAAUUCUAUAGAGAAGUUCCAAAUGUCCAUUUUAAGAAACAGUUUCUUGUGGUUCUUGAACUAGAGCAGGAAGGGAGUUUUAUCACCUACAGUACAUAUCAAAGAUACAACCAGCUUCAGCAGCAAAAUAUCAGAAUACCACUCAUCCAGUCAAGAGAACCAGAUGAGAAUGGUGAUGGGAAAGCUGAUGGACUAGAAUUCAAACUUGAGAUGCCUCUUUUAGGAUCUGAAAAAGUUGUUGGAGCAAAGCUUCUCCUCUUUUUUGACUAUACUUUGCAUAGAUUUUCAUCUUUUGGGAUGGAAUCCAUGGCAUACAUCAAUUAUGAGUCCCCAAAACCUGGAGCCAGACUGGAUGUUUAUGGUGAACUGAAUAUGAGACAGAAACAACCCAUAGGACACAGAGGCCAGGAUUUAAGAUACAGCGGUUCAAUCAUUGAUUCUACAAGUGUGUAUGCAGAAGACUAUGAUCUAGCAAACAUCUUUAAAACUUACACAGAAAGAAAUGUGACGACCCAGUUAAAUGCACCCUAUUCACUGUGGAGGAGUGGGCGAGGGGCGGGCCAGCCAUUUGUCAUCAGCAGCAACAUCACCUACACAGAACAGAUGAUUCUGUAUCCUUCUCACAAUCACUCAUGUCAUUAUAGUAUAGAUAGCAUACACAUCUUUAUAUGUUAUAUCAUUGACAGCAUACAUGUCUUAUACUAUAGACAGCACACACAUUUCAUAUGCAAGCAGAUUUAUUCAUCAGAUGCUUAAUAAUCAGUUCAACUCUUACCGUGUAGAAAAGGCAAUACACUGCACUAUUUUGGCUUUGCAUUGUAAAAUGCCUCUUGCCAAAUGUAUUGUGGAUUCAACUUUGAUUACACGGUAUUAUACUUCAUGUAUUUGAUUGUCUAAGAGCAUUAUUUUAUACUAAAAUAAACUUUUUUUGCCUACAAGACAAUGACUUGCACCUAAAAUGCAUCAAUCUGCAUGACUUUGUGUUUUAUUUUGUUUUUUUAGCUCACCUGAGCUGAAAGCUUGUUUAUUGAACGAAAAUAUAAUUCUUUUUUCUUUUAUGAUUCUGUGACCUUAACUGUUGUUAGCUAUUACCCAGGAUUCUGGUAUAUGAUCAAGUGGGGCUGGGUGCAGUACGUAUCUGUUCUUCUUGUAUUCCUUUAUGUGUUUGACAGGAUCAAGAUCUUCAUCUUCCAAAACCAGCUGGUGACGACCAUAGUGGAAAAGCCAUGGAAACGGGAAAAGAUGUCCUGAUGUAGACAGGACUAGACCUAGUGAUCAAUAACUGCAGGAUAUCAGUAGAGAAUGAAUGGGGACACUGUUUGAUAUUAUGCUCAGGACUGAAGGCUUAGGAAUGGAAGUUUAAGGAAGUGUGGCUAGUGAACUGAAUCAUGUUUGUUGGUGAAGCUGUCAAAGACUACAGAUGAUAAUUGCUCCUGGACAUUCUCUAUCUUACUGAUAUUAGAAGAAUUGCAACUUCUUUAUGAUCUGUUACUGUGGAGUUUCACUGUAGAUAACUAUGCAAACUUUUAAUUAUGAGAGAAAGAUACCAUAUACAUAUCAAAGUGUUUUCAUGUAAGUGCAUGUAAUGUUAUACAUCUACAUGUAGAUAAUGUAAACUUGUGCUACAUUUGUCUCAGCAUCUAUAUGGUUGUCGGUAUACAUGAACAUGUAACCAUAGGACGUGAUUUGAGUGAGUGAUAUGUUUAUUUAUUGAAUUUUUUAUAGUAAGACAGUUGUAAAUAUUUUAAUGGUCAUUUUUGUAAUAAAAUUAUCAUACAACAU
rnacentral:misc_RNA from 1 species